rnacentral:rRNA from 1 species
AUUGAACGCUGGCGGCAUGCCUUACACAUGCAAGUCGAACGGCAGCACGGGAGCAAUCCUGGUGGCGAGUGGCGAACGGGUGAGUAAUAUAUCGGAACGUGCCCAGUCGUGGGGAUAACGUAGCGAAAGCUACGCUAAUACCGCAUACGAUCUAUGGAUGAAAGCGGGGGAUCGCAAGACCUCGCGCGAUUGGAGCGGCCGAUAUCAGAUUAGGUAGUUGGUGAGGUAAAGGCUCGCCAAGCCGACGAUCUGUAGCUGGUCUGAGAGGACGACCAGCCACACUGGGACUGAGACACGGCCCAGACUCCUACGGAGGCAGCAGUGGGGAAUUUUUGGGACAAGUGGGCGCAAGCCUGAUCCAGCAAUGCCGCGUGCAGGA